GACAGAGGUGCCGAGCGUUAGGCGGAAUCACUGGGCUUAAAGCGUGUGUAGGCGGAUGGGUAAGUACCUUGUGAAAUCCCACGGCUCAACCGUGGAACUGCUCGGUAUACUGCUCGUCUUGAGCUGUCUAGGGGCAACCGGAACAAACGGUGGAGCGGUGAAAUGCGUAGAUAUCGUGAGGAACACCAGAGGCGAAGGCGGUUACCUGGACAGUUACUGACGCUCAGGCACGAAAGCAUGGGGAGCAAAAGGG
rnacentral:rRNA from 1 species